rnacentral:rRNA from 1 species
GAUGAACGCUAGCGGGAGGCUUAACACAUGCAAGUCGAGGGGCAUCACGAGGUAGCAAUACUUUGGUGGCGACCGGCGCACGGGUGAGUAACACGUAUGCAACCUUCCCUGUACAGGGGGAUAACCCGGAGAAAUUCGGACUAAUACCCCAUGAUGAUAUUAUGGGGCAUCCUUUAAUAUUUAAAGCUCUGGCGGUACAGGAUGGGCAUGCGCGACAUUAGCUAGUUGGUAAGGUAACGGCUUACCAAGGCGACGAUGUUUAGGGGACCUGAGAGGGUUGUCCCCCACACUGGUACUGAGACGCGGACCAGACUCCUACGGGAGGCAGCAGUGAGGAAUAUUGGUCAAUGGGCGCAAGCCUGAACCAGCCAUCCCGCGUGAAGGAAGAAUGCGCUACGCGUUGUAAACUCCUUUUCCAGGGGGAGAAUAAUCCUGUCGUGACAGGACUUGACGGUACUCUGGGAAUAAGCAUCGGCUAACUCCGUG